AGAAUUCACCAGGCUGGCUGUGUGGAGAGGACGAGGGGAAGACGAUGGCCCCAUUUUCAUGUCCGCUGCUUGCCUGUCACAUGCCUGUGUUUGCUACAAAGUCACCAGAGAGAAAGCUGGAAGCUGCCCU